GUGGGCUAUAACCUUGGGGGGUGGGGCUGGCCAACUUCAUCCGCCGGACUCGGAAUGGUGCGAGACUUUGCGAGGUGCCUCCGAUUGCAAAAAAUAGGCCGCGGGCACAGCAGCGCCCAAAAAUAACCGCCCGAAGGCCGGGGCGCCAAGUUCGUGCAGCGGAAAAAGGCCACAAAAACGGGUGGGCUAUAGCCUUGGGGGGUGGGGCUGGCCCACUUCGUCCGCCGGACUCGGAAUGCCGCGAGACUUUGCGAGGGGCCUCCGUGUGCCAAAAAUAGGCCGCGGGCAAAGCCGCGCCCAAAUAUAACCGCCCGAAGGCCGGGGCGCCAAGUUCGUGCAGCGGAAAAAGGCCACAAAAACGGUUGGGCUAUAGCAUUGGGGGGUGGGGCUGGCGAAAUUCGUCCGCCGGACUCGGAAUGGCGCGAGACUUUGCGAGGUGCCUCCGUGUGCCAAAAAUAGGCUGCGGGCACAGCCGCGCCCAAAAAUAACCGCCCGAAGGCCGGGGCGCCAAGUUCGUGCAGCGGGAAAAGGCCACAAAAACGGUUGGGCUAUAGCGUUGGGGGGUGGGGCUGGCGAACUUCGUCCGCCGGACUCGGAAUGGCGCGAGACUUUGCGAGGUGCCUCCGUGUGCCAAAAAUAGGCUGCGGGCACAGCCGCACCCAAAAAUCACCGCCCGAAGGCCGGGGCGCCAUGUUCGUCCAGCGGAAAAAGGCCACAAAAACGGUUGGGCUAUAGCAUUGGGGGGUGGGGCUGGCGAACUUCGUCCGCCGGACUCGGAAUGGCGCGAGACUUUGCGAGGUGCCUCCGUGUGCCAAAAAUAGGCUGCGGAUAAAGCCGCGCCCAAAAAUAACCACCCGAAGGCCGGAGCGCCAAGUUUGUCCAGCGGAAAAAGGCCCCAAAAACGGGUGGGCUAUAGCCUUGGGGGGUGGGGCUGGCCCACUUCGUCCGCCGGACUCGGAAUGCCGUAAGACUUUGCGAGGGGCCUCCGUGUGCCAAAAAUAGGCCGCGGGCAAAGCCGCGCCGAAAAAUAACCGCCCGAAGGCCGGAGCGCCAAGUUCGUCCGGCGGAAAAAGGCCACAAAAACGGGUGGGCUAUAGCCUUGGGGAGUGGGGCUGGCCCACUUCGUCCGCCGGACUCGGAAUGCAGCGAGACUUUGCGAGGGGCCUCCGUGUGCCAAAAAUAGGCUGCGGAUAAAGCCGCGCCCAAAAAUAACCACCCAAAGGCCGGAGCGCCAAGUUUGUCCAGCGGAAAAAGGCCCCAAAAACGGGUGGGCUAUAGCCUUGGGGGGUGGGGCUAGCCAACUUCGUCCGCCGGACUCGGAAUGCCGCGAGACUUUGCGAGGGGCCUCCGUGUGCCAAAAAUAGGCCGCAGGCAAAGCCGCAUCCAAAAAUAACCGCCCGAAGGCCGGGGCGCCAAGUUCGUCCGGCGGAAAAAAGCCACAAAAACGGGUGGGCUAUAGCCUUGGGGGGUGGGGCUGGCCCACUUCGUCUGCCGGACUCGGAAUGCCGCGAGACUUUGCGAGGGGCCUCCGUGUGCCAAAAAUAGGCCGCAGGCAAAGCCGCGCCCAAAAAUAACCGCCCAAAGGCGGGGCGCCCAAGUCGUCCAGCGGAAAAAGGCCCCAAAAACAGGUGGGCUAAAACCCUGGGGUGNNNNNNNNNNNNNNNNNNNNNNNNNNNNNNNNNNNNNNNNNNNNNNNNNNNNNNNNNNNNNNNNNNNNNNNNNNNNNNNNNNNNNNNNNNNNNNNNNNNNNNNNNNNNNNNNNNNNNNNNNNNNNNNNNNNNNNNNNNNNNNNNNNNNNNNCAAAAACGGGUGGGCUAUAGCUUGGGGGGUGGGGGCUUGGCCACUUCGUCUGCCGGGCCUCGGAAUACCGCAAGACUAUGCGAAGGGGCCUCUUUGUGCCAAAAAUAGGCCACGGGCAAAGCCGCGUCCAAAAAUAACCGCCCGAAGGCCGGGGCGCCAAGUUCGUCCAGCGGAAAAAUGCCCAAAAACGGGUGGGCUAUAGCCUUGGGGGGUGGGGCUGGCCCACUUCGUCCGCCGGACUCGGAAUGCCGCUAGACUUUGCGAGGGGCCUCCGUGUGGCAAAAAUAGGCCGCGGACAAAGCCGCGCCCAAAAAUAACCGCCCGAAGGCCGGGGCGCCAAGUUCGUCCGGCGGAAAAAGGCCACAAAAACGGGUGGGCUAUAGCCUUGGGGGGUGGGGCUGGCCCACUUCGUCCGCCGGACUCGGAAUGCCGCGAGACUUUGCGAGGGGCCUCCGUGUGCCAAAAAUAGGCCGCGGGCAAAGCCGCGCCCAAAUAUAACCGCCCGAAGGCCGGGGCGCCAAGUUCAUCCAGCGGAAAAAGGCCCCAAAAACGGGUGGGCUAUAGCCUUGGGGGGUGGGGCUGGCCAACUUCGUCCGCCGGACUCGGAAUGCUGCGAGACUUUGCGAGGGGCCUCCGUCUGCCAAAAAUAGGCCGCGGGCAAAGCCGCGCCCAAAAAUAACUGCCCGAAGGCCGGGGCUCCAAGUUCGUCCAGCGGAAAAAGGCCACAAAAACGGGUGGGCUAUAGCCUUGGGGGUGGGGCUGGCCAACUUCAUCCGCCGGACUCGGAAUGCCGCGAGACUUUGCGAGGGGCCUCCGUAUGCCAAAAAUAGGCCGCGGACAAAGCCGCGCCCAAAAAUAACUGCCCGAAGGCCGGGCCGCCAAGUUCGUCGAGCGGAAAAAGGCCACAAAAACGGGUGGGCUAUAGCCUUAGGGUGUGGGGCGGGUCCACUUCGUCCGCCCGACUCGGAAUGCCGCGAGACUUUGCGAGGGGCCUCCAUGUGCCAAAAAUAGGCCGCGGGCAAAGCCGCACCCAAUAAUAACCGCCCGAUGGCCGGGGCGCCUUGUUCGUCCAGCGGAAAAAGACCACAAAAACGAGUGGGCUAAAGCCUUGGGGGGUGGGGCUGGCCCACUUCGUCCGCCGGCCUCGGAAUGACGCAAGACUUUGCGAGGGGCCUCCUUGUGCUAAAAAUAGGCCACGGGCAAAGCCGCGUCCAAAAAUAACCGCCCGAAGGCCGGGGCGCGAAGUUCGUCCUGCGGAAAAAUGCCAUAAAAACGGGUGGGCUAUAGCCUUGGGGGGUGGGGCUGGCCCACUUCGUCCGCCGGACUCGGAAUGCCGCGAGACUUUGCGAGGGGCCUCCGUGUGCCAAAAAUAGGCCGCAGGCAAAGCCGCGCCCAAAAAUAACCACCCGAAGGCCGGAGCGCAAAGUUUGUCCAGCGGAAAAAGGCCCCAAAAACGGGUGGGCUAUAGCCUUGGGGAGUGGGGCUGGCCAACUUCGUCCGCCGGACUCGGAAUGCCGGGAGACUUUGCGAGGGGCCUCCGUGUGCCAAAAAUAGGCCGUGGGCAAAGCCGCAUCCAUAAAUAACCGCCCGAAGGCCGGGGCGCCAAGUUCGUCCAGCGGAAAAAGGCCACAAAAACGGGUGGGCUAUAGCCUUGGGGGGUGGGGCUGGCCAACUUCGUCCGCCGGACUCGGAAUGCUGCGAGACUUUGCGAGGGGCCUCUGUGUGCCAAAAAUAGUCCGCAGGCAAAGCCGCGACCAAAAAUAACCACCCGAAGGCCGGGGCGCCAAGUUCGUCCAGCGGAAAAAGGCCACAAAAACGGGUGGGCUAUAGCCUUGGGGGUUCGGGCUGGCCACCUUCGUCUGCCGGACUCGGAAUGCCUCAAGACUUUGCGACGGGCCUCCGUGUGCCAAAAAUAGGCGUCGGGCAAAGCCGUGCACAAAAAUAACCGUGCGAAGGCUGGGGCGCCAAGUUCGUCCAGCGGAAAAAGGCCACAAAAACGCGUGGGCUAUAGCCUUGGGGGGUGGGGCUGGCCAACUUCGUCCGCCGGACUCGGAAUGCCGCGAGACUUUGCGAGGGGCCUCCGUGUGCCAAAAAUAGGCUGCGGGCAAAGCCGCGCCCAAAAAUAACCGCCCGAAGGUCAGAGCGCCAAGUUCAUCCAGCGGAAAAAGGCCCCAAAAACGGGUGGGCUAUAGCCUUGGGGUGUGGGGCGGGCCCACUUCGUCCGCCGGACUCGGAAUGCCGCGAGACUUUGCGAGGGGCCUCCGUGUGCCAAAAAUAGGCCGCAGGCAAAACC
rnacentral:lncRNA from 1 species